UCAUAUUUAUUGUAUGGAAUUGGAUCGUUUGCGUAUGUUUGCCGCUAGGGGCGCUGUUCCAACUGCAUACAAAAUUGGCUUA
rnacentral:pre_miRNA from 1 species